AGAAGAUAUCAAUAUAUCAUGAAGGUAGUGGAUCUCGACA
rnacentral:sRNA from 1 species